GUUUAUAUCGGGAAGUCGGAGGCCCCACCACGUCUCUUCAUUCUGAGCCUCCUUCCUCAUAACACGUCUGGCUGGUGCGUCGUGUAUUAUCGAUGAUAUCUUCAAGCAAUGAUGCCAACACUUUCUGGAACUUCAGCAUUAAGAGGAGCUGGAUGGAGUUCUUAUCAAGAUUCAAGAAUUGGGAAGUCUGGGUGAUUAGACCGAAAUGAAAGUUCUUUGCGAAAUAGAAGUGAAACUCUACCACAAGCACUCUGCAAUAGUGGAUCAUUCUUUUAUGCAGAGUAGGUGUCUUGUUCAUCUGAAAUUGCUGACAGAAAAGCAGUGAUUUCCAAGCCAUCUGUGUGGUUACUUGUGCACACAAAUGAUUGUGUUUAGAGGAACUUGGAGAAGUGAAAGAUGCAGACAGAAUUCCUAAGAUUGAUGAAAAGGGAUGUAAUUGACGUUUUGCUGUUUUGCUAUGCUAGAUGUUCAUACUCCCUAAAUGUGAUAUGUAUACUCAAUAAAAAUGGAAUAGAUAUUUAACAAAUGUUUGUUCCAACCCAAACCUGUGAA